UGCGGUGUAGCUCAAUUGAAGAGCACUUGGUUCAUUCCCAGGAAGAUAUUGGUUCAAAUCCAGUCACCGUAA
rnacentral:tRNA from 1 species